UUCCGGUAGCGCAAUGGAUAGCACGUUAAACUUUUAAUUUAAAGGUCGUGGGUUGGAAUACCCCCUGGGUGUCCUAA